GGAGUUGUAGCUCAGUGGUAGAGCACAUGCUAACAUGCAUAGGCUCUGGGUUCAAUUCUCAGCACCG
rnacentral:tRNA from 2 species